rnacentral:rRNA from 1 species
CCUACGGGAGGCAGCAGUGAGGAAUAUUGGUCAAUGGCCGGAAGGCUGAACCAGCCAAGCCGCGUGAAGGACGAAGGUGCCAAGCAUUGUAAACUUCUUUUGUCAAGGGACAAAAUCAGGCUCGAGAGCCUGACCGAGGGUACUUGAAGAAAAAGCAUCGGCUAACUCCGUGCACGCAUCCGCGGUCAUACGGAGGAUGCGAGCGUUAUCCGGAUUUAUUGGGUUUAAAGGGUGCGUAGGCGGACUGUUAAGUCAGCGGUAAAAGCCCGGGGCUCAACCCCGGCGAGCCGUUGAAACUGGCUGUCGUGAGAGGUCGAGAGGGAGGCGGAAUGCGAAGUGUAGCGGUGAAAUGCUUAGAUAUAGCGCAGAACGCCGAUUGCGAAGGCAGCAUACCGGCGGCGAUCUGACGCUGAGGCACGAAAGCGUGGGUAUCGAACAGGAUGAGAUACCCGAGUAGUC